GAUGCAUACAUAGGUGAAGGACAAGUUAGUGCUACUUCCCUAUUCUGGUUUCAAAUAGAUAGGUUUUUUUGAAGUAUGCAUAGAUUUGUAACAAUGAGCAUAGGUGGUUAUAGGUUGUUGUGAUGAUGAAUAUAAAUAUUAAGUAGUACGCAUGCAUGCAUCUGGACCUCUUAUUGUAGUAGAUCAUAUGCUUGAUCUAGUUUGAACCUUCGCUUAGUAGGAUCUGUAGGUUACCGCGACACACACACACCGAUGCUCUGUUGCUGUCAAGGAAAAAAUAGCGCGCUAAAACGCCGCUAUAGCGCGCUAAUAGCGUAUUUGAAAACUAAACGCUACGCUAUGCAUAUUUCAGUCGCUACGGCGCUAUUCACGCUAAAUACGGCAAUUUCGCGCUAUAGCGCGUAUCGACGCUAUUUUUUGACGUGACGUUAUUUUUUUCAGACGAAUUUUUCAUCAGCCCACUAUUCUUUUGGGGGCUUUCCGGCCCACUAACUCUAACCAGCGGCGAGCCAGCAACCAGACCUACUGAGUGACAGCGAACCCUAACCAAACCUAUCGAGCAACGGUGGCAGCGGCGGCUGCCGGUGCUUCGCCCGUCUCCUCCAGCCACGACCGAACGCCUCUUGCCGCCUCCUCCGCUCGCAGCCUCCUUCCCUCUUAUCGCCUCUUGCCGCCUCCUCGGGUCGCCUCGCCGUCGCCUCCUCUAGUCCUCUCCUCUUGCUCCAACUCGAUGUCGGUGUCAGCUUCAGCGGCGGCGACGGCAAGCAAGCAACCAGGUAAGACUCACGAUGCCCUGCACGAACACCUUCCCGCUCUCGCCGGCCGCCGCCUGGCCGUCGGACCCGGCUGACGGAACGACCAUGAAGGGCGUGGUUAUCUGGUUGUUACACGAUGGACAGUGGGUGCCGUAACUGCCCAUCAUGUAAAUCUGGCAGCUGUUGCAUCUAGCCUGCUGGCUACUGCUCCUGCCAAUUCUUAAUUAGUCAAUCACCAACUCGAUUCUUGAUGAACAGUUGAACACCGAUUCAAAAGUUGUCCAUGACUUGUGUAGUAAUUAGUAAAUGCUUAUAAAUGCCAUGUAAAAUUGUAAAUGCUUGCAGACUUGAUGAUUGCUCUCAGUCCACAUUAUUUAUUUCCAAAUGUAAAUAAAUACUUUGCUGCAAUACUAAAAUACUUUGUUGUAUUCAUGAAUGUAGGCGUUGUUGUGUCAAGCACAACAUCAACAGCUGCACAUGGAGAAGGAACACAGGUUGUUGCUCCUAGAUCAAAAGAUCAAGCAUAGAAGAGGUUGGUGAGAAUCAUGUAGUUCAAGUUGUGACUAAUAAUGCAAGUGUUAAUCAAGCGCAUCAAUCUUGUUGAAAGCAAAGCGCCCCAACAUAUUUUGGACUGGUUGUGCUGCCCAUACUAUUGAUCUGAUGUUAGAGGAUAUUGGCAAGAUUAAAACAGUGGACUGUACUAUUACACAAGCUAGAGGUGUCACUGUUUUCCUUUAUGCACACACUAGAGUUUUGUCUGUAAUGAGGGAAUUCCUUGGGAAAGAUCUGGUGAGGUCUGGCAUUACAAGGUUUUCUACAACUUACUUGAACUUGAAAAGCAUGCUGGACAACAGGAAAGAACUGCAGAAGCUAUUCAGAUCAGAUCAGAUGGAUGAAAUGGGUUACGUAAAAAAGGUGAAAGGACGUGAUUCAAACCGAAGUGUGCACUCUGAAUUUUUUUGGACAGGAGUAGAAUGUGCUGUCAACUUCUUUGAGCCUUUGGCUAAUUUGUUGCGGCGAAUGGACAGCGAUGUACCAGCUAUGGGUUUCAUAUAUGGCGCUUUUUUGGAUGCAAAGAAGGAGAUUGCAGCUAGAUUUGACAAUGAGGAGGCUAGUAUCCAGCAAGUGCUACACAUUAUUGAUAAGAGAUGGGACAACAAAUUGAAGGGGCCCCUACAUAGGGCUGCAUACUUCUUAAACCCAUCCUACUACUAUGAAAACAAGCUGGAGAUUGAGUUGGAUGGAACAUUUAAAGAUGGCCUUGUUGCUUGCAUGGAGAAGAUGGUUAGAGAUGGUAAAAAGCAAGAUAUAAUGACAGCUGAGUGUCAGGCAUAUCAAAAUGAAUAGGGGUUGUUUGGAAGGGACAGUGCUAAAAGGCAGCGGAGAAACAAGAACUUUGAUCCAGGUAAAGAACAAAAUAUUUACAUUGUUGAAAUAAGAUGUGUAGGCUACAAUGCGAAUUAGAUGUUGCAGCUUUGUUAACUGUUAUUUGUUACUUGUUGAUGCAGCUGAAUGGUGGUCUAAUCAUGGGUCAAGUGCACCAAAUCUCAGGAUACUGGCUAUGCGGAUUUUGAGCUUGACGUGCAGCUCAUCAGCUUGUGAGAGAAACUUCAGUGUUUUUCAGCAGGUAAGAAUUUAGUACAAAGUACAAACUGUCAAGAUAUCCUUUAUAUGCACAUAUGUUUCUUCUUCUUACUGAUGUUCGUUUACUUGCAAUGUACAAUCAGGUUCAAGGCAGCAAAAGGCGCAAUAGGCUACUUCAUGACAAAAUGAGAGAUCUUGUCUUCAUCAAGGCCAAUUCCCAACUUGAACAAAAGAGAAUGAACAAACAGAGGGAUCCACUUGUGGAGACAACACAUGCAGAUGUUUUGGAAGAUGAAGAUAACGAGUGGAUCACAGGAAUUGUGUCGGUUCCAAUUUUGGAAGUGGAAACUGUAGAUGAACCUGAAGAAGAACCAAUACCACAACCAAGAGCAAGAGCUGCCCCAUCAAACAGAUUUAAAGCUCGUCGGCAUAGGAAGAAGUUGCUCCCAGCUUUUCGUGAUGAUGAGCUGCAAUCUGCGGGUUCUUCUUCUGAUUCGAAUGAUGAUGCCAUGGCAGCGAGUUCAUCUGAUUUUGAUUGACCUUAUGCAUCGUUGUUGGCUGGCUCCUAAAGUUCUAAGUCCUUAUUUUUGCUAUUCUGGACCUUGCUUGUUGGCUGUUUAAUUCCUGUGUCAACUUUGUUUGUCUGAAAUCUCGAUGUAUGAACUAUUAAACUCUGAACAAUGGUUUAGCCUUGGUUUUAGCUGCUGAAAUAUGUCAUUUGUGUUGCUAUAUGCUGAAAUUUGAACAAUGUUUUGUGACACGCUAUUUUGUAAAAUAGCGCGCUAUUUCGUUCAUAGCGUUUUUUAAAGGCUGCGCUAUUUCAAAUAGCGCCCUAUUUUUUUCCUUGGUUGCUGUUGCAUAAUGUGCUUUUACAAGUGCGCACAAUGAGUUUACUGGUCUCCUUGGGACCGGAGAAGCAGAAUGUUACUUUGUAGAAUCAUUGUUCAGCCUCUUUGUUUAUAUAUGCGGAGUUCUUAUUCAUUUGAUUUUAUCCUCCUGGUAGGCUCUUGUAGCUUAAACUAUGAACAUUUCUGUCACAUACCGUCUCUUUAAAUCUGAAUCUUGAUUGCUUCUAUUUCACAUGUGAGUAUACUGUACAUAAAGAAAAUCCUAGCUAGUUUGAGAACAUUUUAGUCGCAUAAACACAUACUAAUUAAUUUAGUCAUACUAUUUAUGUACAUUUCAUUUGCUGACAAUUCUUGCUUCUAAGUUAUUGGAUCCGUCAUUGACCAUUGUUUGAUGUUCUCGACACAUUCUUAUUCUUAUAUGUUCAUUCUUAUUUUUUGCACAGGUGAAGUGUGAAUCCAAGUCUGAAGCUGUGAAGCAUAUCAGCAAAGAGUAGCAUAUUAUGUAUUGUAAUUGUAGGCAGUAGUAGGCUUAUUUGGGUUGUAGUAUAAUGUAACGAUUGUAAUAGACUAAUGUAGUGUUGUUUUAGACGAAUUCCAUUUGCUCUUUGGAUUCUUCAAAAUAAUGAUUUUGUAUGUGACUUGAAUACCCCGGAAAUGGUAACCUGGCAAAGGGGUUC
rnacentral:lncRNA from 1 species